rnacentral:rRNA from 1 species
CCGCCGGCGACCGGCGCACGGGUGAGUAACACGUAUGCAACCUGGCCGCCACAGGGGGAUAACCCGCGGAAACGCGGCCUAAUACCCCGUGACGCCACCGGAGGGCAUCCUCCGGGUGGCCAAAGGAGCGAUCCGGUGGCGGAUGGGCAUGCGGCGCAUUAGCUAGACGGCGGGGUGACGGCCCACCGUGGCGACGAUGCGUAGGGGUUCUGAGAGGAAGGCCCCCCACACUGGGACUGAGACACGGCCCAGACUCCUACGGGAGGCAGCAG